rnacentral:tRNA from 1 species
UAGAUGGAUGCUCGUUGGUUGGGGCACUUAGCUGUUAACUAAGAGUUUGUAGGAUCGAGGCCUGCUCAUCUAG